CUCACCUGCAAUAUGGGGCUAAGACCCCUUCCCCUGCUGCCUCUGUAUGCUCUGAGGGAGAAUCACAUAAGACCAGCGGAGGUGACUUGGGCUGUAGGCUGCAAAAUGAUGCUAGUCGCAGACUUUCCCACUCCUACAGCACCAUAGGACCCGGGGAUGGACUGUGGGGUCGGAGGAAGGACAUGCUAAAGGGACUUCCGGUGUGAGCAAACGAGCGUUCAGAAAGUCCUAAGGGUGAACACAAUGAGGUUGGCCGAAAUGAUCACCAGCAUUUUGCUGGUGGAGAAACUGAGGCACGGAGGAGUUAAAGAUCCGACAGCCCGGCCAUGUGGCAGGAAGGCUGCCCCGGGUCCUGCAGAGAGUCUGGCUGUAAGAAUGGUGGCUGUGGGAAGCUACCCAGUCGCCCAGCUCUGGGCAGAUGCUCAGAAACGUGUGUGGAGGUACAACACUGUGUAGUGCGCUGUCUCACUGGCGCUCAAGGAAGCCCUGCAGACUCCACUGUCCUGGUCUUUCAGCACACAUCUGCCAGAGUUUUACAACCUGCCUUCGUUGCUGAUUGUUGGGGCUGCAGCCACCACCAAAUCAGCCCUAUCCCUGCCCUUGGCUUCUGUCCUGGUGCGGUAAAGGGAGGAAGACAGAUAGGUCACUUGAUGGCAGUGCUUGGCGGGUGCUAUGAGCAAAGGUGAGGAGAUGAAGAGCACUCAAAGAAAGGAGUGCGAUUUCAGACAGGUGUUCUGGAAGGCACCUUGGAGGAGAAGCAUUGGAGUGGGAACCUGAGAAGCAAAGCAAGCCAGUAUCUGAAGGAAGAAAGAGCUUUAUUGACAGGAGGGACAGGACAUGCAAAGGUCCUGAGGCAGGAGCACACUCAGAAUCCAACACCCUCAGUGACUUGUGUGGAUGGCUGCGUAACAUCUCCCAGAUAUCUCCCCUGAAUCCUUGGGACGUGUGCAUAUUACCUGCUACAGCAAGAGUGGCAGCGCAGAGCCCAGGACACAAAACAAGGAAGACUUGGAAGACCACACGGAAGUGCGCUUUCCUCUGGCCGCCUUGGCGGCAGCGGCCUUAAACUGUUGCCACCAAUACUUGGGGAACUAGGAUUCUGGAGUCCCAACCCAGGACGAUACAACCCCACACGCCCCUGUGUGAGGAGAAAGGGAAAGCAAGCACGAAGGUAAGCCUCCAGUCACGAAGGAAAGAGAGACCCUUUAAAACAUGAA